UCUCUCUGUCACCCAGGUUGGAGUCCAGUGGUUCAAUCUCGGCUCACUGCAAGCUCUGCCUCCCAGGUUUACGCCAUUCUCCUGCCACAGCCUCCCGAAUAGCUGGGACUACAGGUGCAUGACACAAGGCCUGACUAAUUUUUUGUAAUUUUAGUAGAGAUGGGGUUUCACUGUGUUAGCCAGGAUGGUCUGGAUCUCCCAACCUCGUGAUCCGCCCGCCUCAGCCUCCCAAAGUGCUGGGAUUACAGGUGUGAGCCUGGCCAACAAUCUUUUUAAAGUACAUAUGAAAUCUAGCUAAAGGAAGAAUUAGGAAACAGGAAGAUGGAUCUCUAAAAAUUACCCCUAUAAUGUAGCACAGAAUGAUAAAGAAAAGGAUAACAUGUAAGAGAACUAUUUCAAAGGAAUCCAGAAGAAGAGAACAGAGAAAAUGGAGAAUACACAAUUAAAAUGGUAAUUGAGAAAUUGUUCCAAAACUGAUAUGAACAUGAAUCAUCAGAUUCAAAUAGUAAAAGUAGCCUCAACAUGAUAAGUACAAUUGAAUCCACACCUAGACAUAUCAUAAUGAAACUUCAGAACACCAACAUAAAAAACAAGUUUCUUUAAAGCGCCAGAAAGAAGGAAAAAUCAUUUGAAAGAAUAAUAUUAUACUGACUGCAGACAGCAGAAUUAUCGUAGCAACAAUAAAAGUCAAGAGAGUGGAAUAGUACCUUCAGUAAGUUGAAGCCACAUAGCUGUCAACUAGAAUUAUAUGUUGUUGUAAUCACCCCACAGCAAUGAAUGGGCUCCCCACGUGAAACUUUGUUCAGAUAUCAUGACUGAUGGUACCAUACACACAUACCAAGAGAGUAUGAACAUUUUUAUUAAUCAUGGAUUGAAGAUUCCUGGGGAGAACAGAUUCCCAAGCAGGUCUGAAAAUGGUUGGGAGAGCAGAGAAUGGAGACUGUCUUGGGUUUAUGAUGGUUAGGUAGUUAGAGGUGAAAGUGAAGUUUCCCUUCAUGAUCCAGGGCUUGCAUGGUUUAAUCUUUCUGACACCAACAAAGGAGGGUACCUAAGAAACCAGGUAAAGGUAUAUUGCAUUCCUUCCAAAGUGAAGGCAAAUUGAAAUUUGAGAGACUAUUGAAAUAGGCUCAGAACAGAUGUAGACAAAUAUGUGACUGAAAAGUACAUACCAGUUGCUGAUUGUUUGGUGUUUAUCUUCUCAUGGAGAAAGGAAGGCUGUGUGCAUACAAGUGACAUCUGCUGCUUGUUUCAAGUCCUAGAAUUGUAUGACUACCUUAGCUUCAUGUGGGCCUAGUGCCUCAUUCUGUUGGUCCUGUUCUUUGAUUAUACAGGCUGUUCACCUCAGGUACAGGUACACAUCUAUUGCUCUAUUGCUUCCUCCAAAGCAAAAUGCCCUUGAUAUUAAGUUCACAGAGCCUGAGGCUUUUGUCCAGAUUUUACUGAUUUCUCCAAUUUCUGCCUAGUAGUAAAGUCUUUGCCCUUAGACUAAGCCAGCUUUGUCCACUAGAGAUAUGAUAUGAGCCAUAUGCGUCAUUUAAAAUUUUCUAGUAGCUACAUUUAAAAAUAAAUUAACAGAGCUAGGUGAAACUAAUAAUACAGUGUAUUUACUCCAACACAUCCAAAAUAAUAUGAAAUGUUAUUAAGAUAUUUUGCAUUCAUAUUUUCUAAGUCUUCAAAAUUUAGAAUGUACUUUAUUUACACUUACAGAAUAUCUCAGUUAAGCGUUCAUUAAAAGUGCUUGAUCUGUGUUUAGAUUUUAUAAAAUUUACAGUUGAAAAAUUAGAUGCACAUACCUAAGUUAUUUCAAAUGUACAAAAACAGUUUCCAAAAGCUGAAUUGAGGGUCAAUUUUAAAAUUUAAAUUUAAAGUAAUUUAAGUUAAAUUAAAAAGUUAGUUUCUCAGUCUCCCUAGCCACAUUUUAAGUGCUUGGUAGCUACAAGUGGGCUAGCAGCUACUGCACUGGGCAGCACAGACUAUCGUGAAAUGCAGGCCCUCAUCUCAAAGCCUCCUUUCUGCUUGCAUGUUACAUCUUGAAUUAGAAAGAUGGGACUGCACCUCACUUCCUGAAAAUAACACUCAUAUACCUUAAACUGACAUUCAAAACUCUUAGUAACAUCUUGAAGGCAUUGAAACAGCCAAGGAUCUACAACUUCCUAAUUAAACUAGCUAAAAUUAAUUUUUCCUUAUUUUGUUAUCCCAAAGAACUUCUUCUUACCUCUGUUUUAGGCUUUAUUCCAAUAGGCUCAUAGUAUUUUUUACUGUAUCCUUGGUGAAUCGCCAUGUCAUAAUCCUAAAGAACAUGAUUCCUAAGUUUAGAAAAAUCUAGGUUUGAUCCCCCGAAUGCCCAUCUAUUGGCUUGGGCAGUUAUGUCUUCUGAGCCUAACAUUCCUUAUUUACAAAGUGGGAAUAAUACUUACUUAAUAAUAUGAUGUAGUGAGGAUUAUAAGUGAUACAGCCUAUAAAGUGCUUUACUUUGUGUCAGAGUUUGUCACCAAAAAAAUUACAAAAAUAAUGUUAGCAAAUAUUUAUUGAUCUGUUUCUCACUAAAAUUUAAGUCUUUAAAGGUGAGGGUCAUUGAUCUGCUUGCUAAAGGGACAUCACCUAGCACUGUGCUGUGCAUAUGGCCGUAUAUACAGCUCAGUCAAUGGUUGAGUUUAAAUUCAAACUGACUGCUACCACUGACUGGAUUCAGACUUCACCCUGCUUCGCAUGCCCUCCUUAUCUCCAUUUGUAUAUCUCUUCCAGUUGCUUUGCCUCUUUGUCUUCUUGGUCUCAAUAGUCACUAAAGUUUCAAGCAACAGGUGAGAAAAAUAAAAUUAAAAAGCCCUUUUUCAUAAGGCAAAACAGUCAUGGAAUAUAAAGGAAAUUUAAUUUUAGAACUGCAUUAGAAUAAAGUUGGUUAGGUAUAAACCCUUAACUCCUAGAAACGUAUUCAGAGCAACAGGCAUCUCCGCCAGCUCCCUGGGACCGGGCUACAGUGGAGUUGUGUCAUAGUGCAAAAGUAGUGAACUGCUGAUAAAAAGCAUUAACCUCCAUCAGAGUGGCUGCCAUUAACUGAUGAAAUCAAUUAAGCCAGCAGCACUACCUGCUGAAAACUGAUCUAGCAGAGGAACGGAUGGCAGGGUAGAACAGAUGAAAUGAAAAAAUAGUGGGCUGGGUUUUCUUCUUGCUCUGUUUUUAGAAAUGUUAAGUUCCGUCAGUGUGUUUUUUUGCACUGCUUUGAAGAACUCUUUCCCCGGCGACUCCCCCCCUGCUUGGCCUCAUUCCUUAAACUCACUAAGUUAUUACAGUUAAUACCGUGGUUAAUGGUUUCUGGAAAGACGAUAUCUAUCAGCAUCUGAGUGUACACAUUUUGGCCUAAAUACUGAGAAAUCGUAGGUAUGUAAUACAAAGCCUGGGUGUGCCUGCCUGUAGAAAGUAGCUCAUUAGGAUUAAUCUUUUAUGGAGUGACUAAUGCAAAGGGAACGAGGCCUUUUCCUCCCCAACUCGGCAGAGGUUUUGUCCAAACUUUCAAACAGGUUUCUUUGGAAUACAGCUGGUCACUACUGAAGACUUUGCUCAAACAUAUGGAACUUUAAAACCUUGAUUUUUUUUUUAACUUUUGUAUACUGUAGCAAUUCCCUGAAAAUCAAAUGGCAGAACCUAAACGGAAGACUCACUGCCAAAACGCAUGCCCAGUUGGGGAAAAGUGUGUGGGGAAUCAUCCAGCACACUUCGAGAGCUUCGAGUACAGCCUGGUAGAACUCUGUAUUACCUUCUGUUCUGAUUCCUGAGCUCUGCCAGACUUUUGUUUGAAAAAGCAUCUUUAUGCAGCAGUACAUUUGUUACGUUGUAUCUGAGAAUACUUUCCACCUUGGCUCCUGCUUUUAACGAGUAAAAUGACUUCUUCUCUUGCUACAAAGACCAAAAGGACACAAGGUACAAGGCAGAGCUUCUCAGCAGAGAUAUAUGUUUUUUUCUGCCAAAAUUAGUAUAAGACAAUAAGUUGUCUGUAAAGGUCCGGUAGUCAGAUAAAGGAGUCAAGUUCCUUUUCAGGGUAAUGUAAUUGUUAGUCCUCAUAAAAAAAAGUGUUGUGUGGUGGGGGGAGUUGCGGCUUUAUCAAUAAAAGCAUACAGAGCUGAAUAUCUACAUAAAGAAAUGUUCAGUAUAAUUUAUGGCAUUUCAUCAUGUCGAACUGCAUUUCAAGUAAUUCACCCUGGCAGUUUUAUUCUCAAAAUGGAAAUCUUAGUAUUUUCCUUGCCUUCAUCAAAUAAAGAGUUCGUGUUCAACUGUAGUCCGUAUACUUGAUAAUUUGUCUGGCUGGGUAAGGUUAUUAGCAAUUUAAGAAGUAAACCCAUUUGGAUUUUCAGAGUUAACAGAAAUAGGAGAUUGCUAUGAUGAUCUCUUAAAAAUUACAAUGUAACACACAAAAGUGAGAUUUAAGUAACAAGAUUUUCCAUACACCAAUAACACCAGGGAAAUUCAAACUCAAACUCCCUCGUUUAAUUUCCAGGGAUUAAGGGGUUGGUAUUGAAGUCAAUGAAAGAUACAUUUUACAAAACUGUUAAUUCAAUUCAGAAAAGCAGACCAAAGGCCCACUAUCUUUAGAGUUUCUUUGGUUGAAAUGCAACUUGAUCAACUGGGUGGAAGAUAUUUCUAAUUCUCUAAACUGGUCAGAACAAAGUAGAGGACAGUGGUCCCAGCCAGAGGAUCCUGAGGGUCUCCUAUGAUAAACUGUUAGACUUGCAAGGGCAUUUAGAGAUUAUUUAGCCCAAACCUAUAGCUUGGUAAAUGAGGAAAUUGAAGCCUAGAGAGUAAAUGACUUAGCUAACAUCAUUCAACUGGUCGGUAUAGGUGUUCACUCACUUGCCUUUCAAAUAGAGAUCUUUUUAACUCCCUCAUCAAAUUCUUUCAGGAAUUAUUGAUUUUCUUAGUUGGUUUCUUUUGAUUUUAUAUUUUAUCAUGGAGAUGAUAUUAAUUCCAGGAUAAAAUACUGAUAUAAGGAAUUUUCAAAAUUGUUGCUCAUUAUUUUCUAAUUUUCAUUUAGCCUCUUGCAACAUUGCAAACAAAGUUGAUAACAUUUUACCUUUAGAUUCACCUUUUCAAUUUACAAAACACUUAAUGUCUAAGACUUGCCAAUGAUAUAAGCUAUUUACUAUUUAACACAUUUAUAGAUAAGGUGUAGAGCAUUGGCAAGGUUAAAUGACUUUGCUAAGGUCACACAACCAGACAUUAGCGAAGCCAGACCUUGAACCCAGCAUUUUUUACUGUUUACACCAUGUUAGUUGUGAAUGUAUAACUAAGGCAAAGGGAUCACCUCAUAAAGUUCUUACUGAUGAGGGACUGAAUUGUUUAUUUGCUAUUUCACUGUAAGAAGCUUCGCUUAAUGGAUAAAAGCAUAAGAUUUAGACUCAAACCAGAAAUCCACCUCUACUUUAUAGUAGUAUGGGGACAUUGGUUAAGUGAUCUCUUUUAUUCACAAUCGUCUCAUCUGCUUAAUGGUGAUAAUAAUAAAUGUAGGUUUUUCUGGAACAAUUAAAUGGCUAAUGCAUUUGAGAAAAAGCAUGUAUUUCAUUGUUUGGCAUAAAAUAAACACUAUAUAUUUUUAGUAACUGUUACUAUGCUAUUAUUCUAAGCUAUACUAUCAGCAAGAUGUAAGUAAUGCUCCUAUUUCAUCAUAAAUAUAUAAAUACUUAUGUUUUUAUGUAUAGAUUGUUAUGCUUACAUAGGUUUCAGUGCACUUUGUUAGUAAUUAUUCUUCAUAUCUUUCAGAAUGCAAACUUCUUAAGGUCAAAGACAUGUGUUUUAUCUUUGAUAUAGAAUAUUUUCAAUGACAAGAUAUGUUCAUCUUUAUAUCCCCAAAACCUAUCAUGUUUUUGAAAGACAGUAAGUGUUAAUAAACAGUUAUUAGUGUUGAAAUAGAGUUUUGUAUUGACUUUGAAAAUAAUCCUUACUCUGGGUUGGUUGGCUGAUUGGCUUGUUUAUUUAUUUAGCUCAUGAGAUGAGAGGGGUAGACAUUUACUCUUCUAUCUAAAGGUCUUAGUUCCCUCUUGGCUGUCAUUUGGUGAGUAACUUGCUUUGCUGUUGUUUCUGUGGUGUUUAGAUAUCUAUAUGUAAAUCUUGUAACAUGGUCUUAGCUCCUUUCCUGGCAAGCUAAUUAUCUGAUGAGCAACCAAAGAAAUGAUCUAUUCUAGUGGAAGAGAAAAAAUUGACUGUGUUAAGCUUACCGAGAAAUAAUACUGUACAUACUAUUGCACUUUAUGAGACUUAAAGAAUUUGAAUACACAGUUUUUAUAUGCAUGCUAACCUUAGCUGCCUGGAAAGAUGCAGCAUAACUGCUUAAACUUAUUUUUUUUGUUGUUGUAUACUAACUUAUUUUAAAUGAGGAUGAGUAGAUAUAGACAUAUAUAUAUAUAUAUUUAUACACACACACACACACACACAAAUAUAUACACCUUCCCCCAAGUGCAUGUGCACGCGCGCACGCGCACACACACACACACACACGCAACUAGUUGACUGAGGAAGAUAAAACUUGGGCCUGAUUUACAGAUGUUUCUGCACAAUAUUCAGGCACCAUUCAAAAGUGGACAGCAACAGCAGUGCAGCCCCUUUCUGGACAUCCUUGAAAGACGGCAGUGAAGGAAAUUUCUCCCAGUGGGCAGAACUUCAAACACAGCACCUGGAGACACACUGGCAAAGGAAAUAACCAGAGGCAAGUUCAGCUGUAUUGUGGAAAAAAGGAUUUAAGCAAAGAUUGAACCUGGUGAAAUGCGGAUAGCUGGUCCACUUGAGGACAUUCCAUUUCUUCGCUUCUCCAAUGGAGCAGGUUUCUGCACGCAGCUCACAUGCUUAUAUGUAUGGUGGCAUUGCCUACUCUCUACCCAGUUGUCCCAUCAACUCCCUACACUCUACACCACUGAAAUCUGUGCAAACAAGAUCAAGCUACUGAUCAUCUUCUGAACAAUGAAUUCUUUUCUGACAGGGAAGGAUUGUUCUGCAACUCAUGCGGAGCACCAAGGGUGCUGGAGACUCAGGUCCAUAGAACCCAGCUUUACCAUACGGAUGUGCAUCAUAACACUGUAUCAUGAUAAUGCAAGACUAAACACCUGACUUGAUGCCCAGGGCAAUGAUGCUGUGUUUAUCAAACAAUAAAACUAUUAUCUUAAAAAUCUGUUUAACUUGAAACCAUCCUAGAUGAUUCAAUACCUCAAGGCUUUCAAGAGAACAAACAUUGUGAACAACGGCUUGACUUUCUUACGAAGAGAAUUAAUUAAAUUGUAAACCAAUUUUUACGCACCCUGAUGAUUUUUUAUGUUGUUUCCUGAGCCGAGUAUCCUUGAGAAAUUCAACAGUGAUAAGUAAAAUUGCAUUGUAACUGCUCAGGAUUUGUUCAACAUUCAGUGUUUAUUGACCAGAAGCAGUUAAAGUGUUUGGGUAAGGAAUAUAGACUCAGAGCAGACUGCCCCAGCUCCAACCCAGCUUCUCCACUUAAUAGCUAUGAAGUUGAGCAAUUUAGUGAACCUCUCAGUGCUUCAGUUUUCUCUAUAAAAUGGGGAUAAUUUGAAUCUAUCUGCAGAUGCCACGUGGGUUAAAUAAGAGCAUAUGGGCUUAUAACAAUGCCUGAAACAUAGCAAGUGCUCUAUAGAUGGUAUCCAUUAAUGUAAGGCCUCCAUAGAACAGACAUUUGACUCAAUAUAGCAAUAUAUUAAAUAUAUUCAUAUAAAUUAAACAUGGUGACUAACUUCAACUAAUUUCCAUCACAGUGGGGACAACAAAACAUGUAUUUAAAACCCACACAUUAUUUAAGGACCAGAUUAAAUGCAUCAAAAUCUUCAUUAAUUCCAUGUUGUUCAAUGUAAUCUUUCCCACAGCAACUUAAAUGUACUUCUCUUUAACAUGUUCUACCAAGUUUUAUAAUUAAUUAUGUACAUGUCUAUUCUUUCCUACCAGAUUCUGAUAUGCUUGAGACAGAUUCACUUCAUCCUCUUUCUGCAUGCCUGGUUGAAUGACUGGCACAUAGUAAAUGCUCAAUAAAUGUUUGAUAAAUGAAUGAAUAACAAUAUAUAAGGCAUUAUAUGGUGACGAAAGCAUCACACAAAAGCAUCACAACUGAAGCACAAUUAAGUACCAUAAACAUUAGCCUUCAUCUACUGCCAUGACAGCUGAAGAGAUCCAGAGAGAUCCACUCCUGAUGUGCAUUCGUAGGGCGAGUUUUACAAAAAACAUGGCACAGGAGGAGGUUCUUAAAUGUUUAAACACAGCACUCAGUCUUAUAGAGGCUCUGCUUCUUUAAUCGGCCCUUUCUAAUCUUCUCUCCUCAUUGUGAAAUUCGGGAAAUAUGUUUCUUUACAUGCCUCCUCAAAUUUACAGAACUGGCCCAAGCAUUGAUUUUCUAGACAUAAUUCACUCCCAUUGCAGAUGUCCUAGGAAAUGGAGAGCUCUAUGACAGAAGUACACAUCAUGUGUCCAAAGUAACUUCAUAAUGGUUUCUGGGUUGUUAAAACAGGAAGAAACCAUUGCCUUUUAGAGGAAAGCUACAGUAAAUGUCACCAUAUGAAUAAACAUUGCAGUGACAUGCUUAAGCCUGGUUUUACUUGUUAUGAUUAUGUUGUCUGACUCUUACCACCAGAAGUGUUUCCCUCAUAUUUUCCUUCACAUUAACAUUUACGAUGGAGGGGCAGCAUUCCCCUUUGCUCACAUUGGCCAAAAUUAGUCCCUUUACACCCAGCAAUAUUUCAACAGUCACAGACCAGUGAGAGACCAGCAUAAACCCAGCUUGCUAUGGGCCUCAGCAUGUUCCACCAGCUUUACUCCAGCCAACAAAACUGCCAUUUGGAAUCCAUCUGCUGCAUUUCACGGACCUAAAUUCUGACCUAGUAGGUAGUCACUGAACUCGAACUGAGCAGAAAGGGCCAGAGGUUCUAAAGGGAAACAUUCUUCAGCGCCACUACAUGUGCCCUAAGACAUGAAACACCUAAGACAGCACCUUGAGGCAUAUUUUUCAGUGCAGAAGUAGCAGAAAACAGAACAUGACUCCCCACCCCUUCUUUAUAUUCCAAUGAGAUUUGCUAGUUUAACCAGAGCUGCAGUACAAAAGCACUUGUGGUUCAUGUUAUAUUAAUAGUGUGGCCUGAUUAUCAAAAACCAUUACUCUUGGUUAUCUUGCAGCGGCUGUACAGAGCUGCUAUAAGUCAGAGUGACUGCCCACACAGUGUUUGCUCCAUGCUUAUGAUAACAGUAUUCUUAAUGCAAAAGUGCAUUUGUAAAAUUAUUGCCUUUUAAAGAUCAGAUCUGUUAUAAAUGAGAUAUGAUCACACAAUUGCUUUUCUCUGUAUAAAAAAAUUAAAUACAUAAAUUAAAUGUCAGUGUCCUCCAUUGUCGUGGCUUCCUACGGGUCAGUUUACUUGUGGUCAAACUCUGAGGUAUGGCUUUCAAAGCAGAUGCGUUGUUAGCUGAAUCCUGGCCAGAGGCACAAGCAGUUGCUUUUCUUCUCCUUUCUUUGAUGUUGUCUUCUGUAGUUCUGAUUGCGGCCUUGUGGAUCCAACCCUUUUUUAUGCUUGUCGAGGGGGGCUUUGUUUGGUUUAGUUUUGUUUUUUAAACCAGUAAUGAUAAUGGAUCGGAAACCAUGCCAUUUCCCUAUAGAUUCAAAUCAUUGUUUCCGGUUCUUUGCAGAACUCCAUGUGGCUCAGAGUGGCUGCAUUCAGAGCGCCUUAAUGCUAAUGCCACCGUGGUUGACUUUUUAAUGUAGCCCUCCCUCGCUGGGACACUUUUUCACAAGCUUGGGUUUUGUGUGGAGAAGAGACAAAGACAGGAAGGAAAGCAACACUAAUAAAGUAAAAGAACUCAGCUUUAAUACUCACUAAUCUCCUCCUCUAGGUUAUAUGUCUCAUUAUACAUGUUACACCGACCGGGAGUCUGAGAGCUAUGGCUUUACUUGUGCAACGCAAGGGACUCUACUGCCGUGCAUCUUCCAACACUCUCAAGUUCCUUUACAAACAAAAAUAUAAGGGGAAAAUAUACAGGACUCUCCCUUCUGCUUUUCCUGUUUGAACAGCAUCGUAGAAUCCGUGAUUGUUAUAGACAGUUAAGCUUUUC
rnacentral:lncRNA from 1 species